rnacentral:snoRNA from 1 species
UCUGCCCACCCUGAGAGGCACUGAACAUGUAGUUCAGUAGGUGGCAGAGAGGAGAGAGGCAAUGGCUAAAGUUCUGACCUAUGAACAUCUGAAUGUGGCCCAACCUG